UACGAAGGGAGCUAGCGUUGUUCGGAAUUACUGGGCGUAAAGCGCAUGCAGGCGGAUCGUUAAGUCGGGGGUGAAAUCCCGGAGGCUCAACCUCGGAACUGCCUUCGAUACUGGCGAUCUUGAGUCCGGGAGAGGUGAGUGGAACUGCGAGUGUAGAGGUGAAAUUCGUAGAUAUUCGCAAGAACACCAGUGGCGAAGGCGGCUCACUGGCCCGGUACUGACGCUGAGAUGCGAAAGCGUGGGGAAGCAAACAGGG
rnacentral:rRNA from 1 species